AGUGAGAGCGAGCUUGCUCGCGAUAGCGGCUUAACAUUCAACAUCACUGUUGAUUGACAGUCCGCCAUCGCGAGCAAGCUCGCUCCCACA
rnacentral:misc_RNA from 1 species